AGAUAAAUGUCCGCUGUACUGUGGAUACUGUCAAGCCCAAGGAACGUCAACGUCAGUGGCUCCUGUAACCACAACAACACAAGUUAGCACACCUGCCAUUAUUACUCAAGGUAU